rnacentral:rRNA from 1 species
GCUAGUUGUAUUAUUAGUUAAUGCAAGAUCGACUACGUGACAAAGUUCUAGGUAGAAUAAUGAUGAUGACAAUUUUUUACCUAUAUGUCUUGACCAAGUCUCGUGCCAGCAGUCGCGGUAAUACGUGGAAGACUAGUGUUAUUCAUCUUUAUUAGGUUUAAAGGGUACCUAGACGGUAUUUCUAGCCCAAAAUAGGGUACGGAUUUACUAGAGUUUUAUGUGAGGAGGGGAGUACUCGUGGAGUAGAGAUGAAAUUUUGUUAUACUAUGAGGUAACUGGUGGCGGCGAAAGCAACCUUCUAUGUAUAAACUGACGUUGAGGGACGAAGGCUUGGGUAGCAAAUAGGAUUAGAUACCCUAGUAGUCCAAGCAGACAAUUCUGAAUGCCAUAGAUUAGAUUAUUUUUGGUCUAUAAAUGAAAGUGUAAGCAUUCCACCUUAGGAGUAAUGUGGCAACACAGGAACUGAAAUCAUUAGACCGUUUCUGAAACCAGUAGUGAAGUAUGUUAUUUAAUUUGAUGGUCCACAAAAAACCUUACCACAACUUGAAUAUUUUUUAAUUAAUACAAGCGUUGCACGGCUGUCUUCAGUUAAUGUCGUGAGAUUUUGGUUAACUCCAUUAAUUAACGUAAAACCCU